rnacentral:tRNA from 1 species
UCUCUGGUGGCUCAUACGGUAAGGAGUCUGCCUAUAAUGCAGGAGACCCAGGUUCAAUCCCUGGCUUGCGAA